AGGGGCAGCGGGGGAGUGGCAACACUUCCGCCGGCGACCGGCGCACGGGUGAGUAACACGUAUGAAACCUGCCCGCAGCAGGGGGAUAAGCGGAAGAAAUUCCGUCUAAUACCGCGUAACAACCGACGGGGGCAUCCCUGUUGGUUCAAAGGAGCGAUCCGGCUGCGGAUGGUCAUGCGGCGCAUUAGCUAGUUGGCGGGGCAACGGCCCACCAAGGCGACGAUGCGUAGGGGUUCUGAGAGGAAGGUCCCCCACACUGGUACUGAGACACGGACCAGACUCCUACGGGAGGCAGCAGUGAGGAAUAUUGGUCAAUGGCCGAGAGGCUGAACCAGCCAAGUCGCGUGAGGGAUGACGGCCCUACGGGUUGUAAACCUCUUUUGCCGGGGAGCAAAGAGCGGGACGCGUCCCGCCUCGAGAGUACCCGGAGAAAAAGCAUCGGCUAACUCCGUGCCAGCAGCCGCGGUAAUACGGAGGAUGCGAGCGUUAUCCGGAUUUAUUGGGUUUAAAGGGUGCGCAGGCGGAAGCGCAAGUCAGCGGUAAAAUUGAGAGGCUCAACCUCUUCCCGCCGUUGAAACUGCGUUUCUUGAGUGGGCGAGAAGUACGCGGAAUGCGUGGUGUAGCGGUGAAAUGCAUAGAUAUCACGCAGAACUCCGAUUGCGAAGGCAGCGUACCGGCGCCCAACUGACGCUCAUGCACGAAAGCGUGGGUAU
rnacentral:rRNA from 1 species